CUCAUUAGGCAGGGGUGCCUGAUACCUGAGUUUGCUCCCCAAGACCCACGUGGUGGAAGACGAUAACCAUCUACAAGUUGUCCUCUGACCUCCAGGAGCCUGCCAUCGAUGUCCCGUUAUAUCCAGGAUUGGUAGUGGAGGAAUUGACUGCUGUUCAGAAAAUCUCUACCCAUUUGGUUUCACAAAUGUGAGAAUAAGAAAAAAGAAAAAAAAAAGUCAAACUUUAUAAACUCAAGUUACCGCAGGUAACUUGAAUGACGUUCCUUCGGCUUUACGUCCAUCACAUGCUUCCAUGCAGCUUCCUUUCUUUCUGAACACAUUCAUGAAAAUCUGUUCAGUUCACAGAGAACCAACAAGAAGCAAGUCAAGUCGCACGGAGAAAAGCGGUCCUUCGCAGCGACAGCACUGCUGAACUCAGGUGUUGACUGUGAAGUGUCAAAUCCCAGAGAAGAUCCUCAGUCUGGUCUUGGGAGGUGUGCGCAGCCCCCACAAGGGAAUCCUCAGAGGAAGCAGUAGUGGCUUUUCAACAUUUGUUUGUUUUCUUGCCUUUGAAGAGCCUACAUGAGUGUUCAGCCAUUCCUGGCCUGAGUUCGGAAUAUGAACUGUUGGUUUUCCGAGCCUUUUCGUCCUUUUCCAAACCACCAGUUUUAUGGGGUUGGCUUCAUAACCAAUAACUCUUUUCACAACAUUAAAAAUGUGUGCAUAAUAAAAAAAAAGACAAGAUAAAAAAUGUGUGCAUAAGAUGACUGCACUGUACCUUUAAAGAAGUGAGAAGACUUUAAAAAAAAAAAGAAUGGCUUAGAGAGCGAAGAUAUGCAUUGCUGAGUAUCCAAUAUACUCUGAUCAUAUUUGCCUCCACUCCUCUUCAUGUGCCCUCCUAGAUCCACCCCCAUCCCUGUCCCUGUCCCUGUCCCCGUCCCUGUCCCCAUCCCCAUCCAAACAUUGUGUCCUCUUAUUUUCUUUUUGUGUACCUCACCCAGUCCAGUCUGUGCUGCCCAUACCCUCACAAGCCUGGGCCUCUCACUGGGGUAAGGCCAACCUACCAGAGAUCUCACCAUUAAAGAAAACUCCUUCCCC
rnacentral:lncRNA from 1 species